AUUGAACGCUGGCGGCAUGCCUUACACAUGCAAGUCGAACGGUAACAGGUCUUCGGAUGCUGACGAGUGGCGAACGGGUGAGUAAUACAUCGGAACGUGCCCAGACGUGGGGGAUAACGAGGCGAAAGCUUUGCUAAUACCGCAUACGAUCUAAGGAUGAAAGCAGGGGACCGCAAGGCCUUGCUCGGUUGGAGCGGCCGAUGGCAGAUUAGGUAGUUGGUGGGAUAAAAGCUUACCAAGCCGACGAUCUGUAGCUGGUCUGAGAGGACGACCAGCCACACUGGGACUGAGACACGGCCCAGACUCCUACGGGAGGCAGCAGUGGGGAAUUUUGGACAAUGGGCGAAAGCCUGAUCCAGCAAUGCCGCGUGCAGGAUGAAGGCCUUCGGGUUGUAAACUGCUUUUGUACGGAACGAAAAGGCUCUGGCUAAUACCUGGGGCACAUGACGGUACCGUAAGAAUAAGCACCGGCUAACUACGUG
rnacentral:rRNA from 1 species